rnacentral:rRNA from 1 species
AUGGCUCAAGAUACUAUCAAAUUGUGUGACUUCACCAAUAACAACAAUAAUGAUUUCCUUAGCACUCCGAUUGCUCCUCUUACCAAUGCUGAAUCUUGUGAAAUUAAUACCGCUUUGUUGAAUCUUGUUAUGAAAGAUCAAUUCGCCGGCCUUCCUAAUGAAGAUGCUGCUACUCAUCUGAAUAGCUUCGUUGAUUUAUGUGAUAUGCAAAAGAAAAAAGAUGUCAAUAAUGAUGUCGUUAAAUUGAAGCUAUUUCCUUUUUCGCUUAGAGAUCGUGCUAAAGCUUGGUUUUCGUCUUUGCCUAGGAAUAGUAUUGAUUCAUGGAACAAGUGCAAAGAUUCUUUUAUCUCUAAGUAUUUUCCUCCCGCUAAGAUCAUCUCUCUUAGAAACGAUAUUAUGAACUUUAAACAACUUGAUCAUUAA